ensembl:lncRNA
UCCCUAUCCCUAUCCCUGCAGGAAGCAGAGCCCAUCCAGAUAGGUGGCUGCAGAUCCUCAUUCCUGGGUUGCAUCUCCUUUCCAGGGACACUUUUCCCCACUCAUCUCAUGCCUUAAAACCCACAGACCGUGGGGUUGUCCCUCGGUGACCCAUGCAUCCCGAUGCUACCCUGCUGGCCAGCAUGCAGUGAUGGGCUGUUGGUCGUUGGUGAAGCCUUAAUGCCCAGAGCUAAAUUCCCAGGUGGGCCACAUCCCUGCUCCCCCUUCACGAGGCAUGGGGAGAACACACCUUGGUCCUGCCUUGUGCCAAGUGCUUCAACGCAGAGUUGGUUCCUCCUAGCAUCCAAAAGCAGCGAGAGGUGGCUUGGAGGAGAUCCCUCUGACUUUCAGCUCUUUCCAAUGCACUCCGACCUGGUUUUCCCACUGCCAUCUGCAUCGCUGCCCUUUGGGGUCGGGUCAGGUUGUGACCCACUGCGGUCCCCUCUGGUGGUGUGGGUUCCUCCAGGAAAGUUUGUGGGGAUGUCUGGGAUGGACGCAGUGUUAUCAGCAGCCAUUCCCCCACGCUGUGCUCCGGUGAAGCCUUCUGACCGGGGUGUGUGGGGCUGAUUGGAAACCCUGCACAUUUAUCCAACCCAUCCCCCAAAGCAGCUGUUGGCCUGAAAGGUGGCUGCUCCUCUCACGCUCCGCAUUCCACCUUUCCUGCCAAGAGUGGGGGAGAGAGGGAAUAAAAGCUGCUCUCCUAUCAUUAGCAGAUGAUUGAAAAACCUUUCAGCUCCCUGAGCCAAGCGUGGGAGAUAGCAGCCCUGCAAGACAGGAGCCGAGAAGCCCACAGCAGCAGAUGGUGGGAAGAGGCAGGGACUCACCUCCCUCUGCAGAGCCAAAAGGGUUCGAUGUGGUGCUUGGGGUGAAUGCCACACCUGCAGCAAGCGAGCAGAAGUGCAGCAGGAGCGGGGCAAAAUUGGCAUUUACCCACACACCUCUGUUCCCAUAGUGAACAUAGAAAUGUGUGGACUGCUUUAGCUUGAAUUUAUCUUUUCAUUGCUCUGAGUGCAACCAGCCGCACUCCUGCCCGGCUCCUGGCUGCAGUAGGGAAGCAAAGUUACUGCCUGGCAUGGGGGGUAUUUGACCCAUCUGUCUGCAGAUCUCCUUUGCAAGAGGAGAAGGUCGGACCUGUACCUCAGUUUCCUCUCUCAGUGCAAAGGGAAGAGCUGGUGGCAUGGGAUGCACGGAGCUGCCUUGGGAAGAUCGGCAGGGUUGGGCUGCUCUGGCUGUUUGCACCACCUGGGACCUGCAAUCUGUGAGGAAGGAAACUGGCCUCAGGAGCAGGAAAAAAGGGCGAUCUCUCAGCACUUCCCAAAAGUUUUCCCACCCUGUGAAAAAAAAAGGCAGUGGUGCACAUGUGCACUCGUGUCCUGGGACUGCUGCAACUCCUCCUGCUGCCCUGACAUGCAGGAGGGGAGAAAAUGGCAGGGAGAUCUGCAAGGCAGGAGGGAACGAGCCUUGCAAAGAGGAAUGACCUCUGUGAAGCACUCCGAGGAGCAGCAGCUUGGAAAGGAGGAUCUCAGCUACAGAUGUGUGCGCGAUGGAUCCAAGAGCAGUCAGCUGCCAUCCAGCUCGGAUGGGCGGCUGUUAUCGGCGCACGCGCUCCGUUCCAUGACAGCUCCUUUUCAGACACUCCGUUCAGACAGACUGAAAAAGAAAUUCCUCUUGUCUUCAUUUUCCAAAUCCAGAUUCAAGUCAAUGCUUUGUCCUUUUUGUGGCCGUGAAAUAUUUUGGCAUUUAGGGGGCUCCUUCCCCAGCCUGGGAGCUUUGCUUUGAUUGCACUGAUAGGGCAGUUGGACCGGAUGGCCUUUAAGGGUCCUUUCCAACUCAAACGACGCUGUGAUUCUGUGACCUCCUUCAGCCUUGCCCAUUGCUGCAAGCGGAGCUCCAGGGGUUCUGCCAACAUCACAAGAACUGAAGGAGGGAGGGAGAAAGGAGGAAGAGAAAUCAGAGUAGCUCAAACUAGAACCCAUGAGCUCCAAAGGGUUGGCAGCAGGGUGUUCAUCAUCCCUGCAGCCUGCAAGAUGUAAGGAGUAUGUAGGAGCAGAGCCAGGAUUUGCUCUGCAUGUGCUUUACACAAGAGUGAAAACCCAAUCUGCUUAAAAACAUGAGGAGCUAGAACUGCUGCUGACGUGAGCCCAGGCUGUGACACAGCUUUGGUUAAGGAAAAUCACCCAGACCCAGACACGAGGCUGGGAUGUACAAGACAGCUCCUUGUGCCCGCAGUUUCGCCACGGCCAGAUGAAAUGUAGGAGAUAGGCCAAGAAAUGGGCUUUGAUGUGCAACCACCACCCGGCUCCUCUCUGUUAUUCCUUCCCCCCCAUGCCAAACCGAAGUAAUAGAUGCUUCCCUUCUGCCCCCAUGAUCCAAAGGUCCUCGCAUGGACGAAUUCAUCACUGAGAUAACUACCCGCAGCCACGAGAUGGGAAAGCCAAGGUAAACACACACCCAUCCAUCAGCAGAUAUGUGAUGAAGCUCUCCUUUCUUCAAGGAGUUCACCCCAGAGGUUCAACCACAAAGCGAUGCUGUAGCAAGGCGGUGGGAUGCGCCCGAUCAGCAAAUUGCUCAGAGCCACUGAGGAUGCUGCCAGCAUCCCUGCCAACAGGAUUACUCGUGGGGUGCACAGCCCACAUGCGAGGGGUUCACCAGCCAAAAUGAUCUUUCCCUGCAAAAAUGAAGAAGGGUUUUCAUGCUGUGUGUACUGGUGGUUUUUGCAAGAAGGCAAAGAUGAGAGGUAAUGCACGUUGCACCAGGGGAGGUUCAGGUUGGGCAUUAGGAAGCAUUUCUUCUCAGAAAGAGUGAUACUGCACUGCACAGCUGCCCAGAGGGUGGGGGGUCACCAUCCCUGGGGGUGUUCCAUAACCAUGGGGAUGUGGCACUGAGGGAUGUGGGCAGUGGGCACGGUGGGGUUGGACUCAACGAUCUGAGAGGUCUUUUCCAACCUGAAUGAUUCUGUGACUGUACGACUAAGGCAGCAGGGACAGGGCAGACGCCAUUGGCACACAGCCUAUAGACAAACAAAACUGAACUACAGACCAGAAAAACCAGAAUCUUUUUGAAUCAAAAUAGCUUCCAAAAGGCAAAAAAAAGAAAAAAAAAACAAAACAAAUGGAAAAGGAGAGUGAGACAGAUUCCCAUGAAGAGAGCAAAGCCCCGAGAGCAUCC